AGGGAAUCUUCCGCAAUGGAGGAAACUCUGAUGCAGCAACGCCGCGUGAGUGAUGAAGGUCUUCGGAUUGUAAAGCUCUGUCUUCUGGGACGAUAAUGACGGUACCAGAGGAGGAAGCCACGGCUAACUACGUGCCAGCAGCCGCGGUAAUACGUAGGUGGCAAGCGUUGUCCGGAUUUACUGGGCGUAAAGGAUGUGUAGGCGGAUAUUUAAGUGAGAUGUGAAAUCCCCGGGCUUAACUUGGGGGCUGCAUUUCAAACUGGAUGUCUAGAGUGCAGGAGAGGAAAGCAGAAUUCCUAGUGUAGCGGUGAAAUGCGUAGAGAUUAGGAAGAAUACCAGUGGCGAAGGCGGCUUUCUGGACUGUAACUGACGCUGAGGCGCGAAAGCGUGGGGAGCAAAC
rnacentral:rRNA from 1 species